rnacentral:rRNA from 1 species
UACGUAGGGGGCAAGCGUUGUCCGGAAUCAUUGGGCGUAAAGCGCGUGUAGGCGGCUCGAUAAGUCCGCUGUGAAAGUCCAGGGCUCAACCCUGGAAUGCCGGUGGAAACUGUCGAGCUAGAGUCCGGAAGAGGCGAGUGGAAUUCCUGGUGUAGCGGUGAAAUGCGCAGAUAUCAGGAGGAACACCAAUGGCGAAGGCAGCUCGCUGGGACGGUACUGACGCUGAGACGCGAAAGCGUGGGGAGCAAACAGG